rnacentral:misc_RNA from 1 species
UCUUUGUGUUUGAAGUCUUGAUAGUGCAUCAUUUUCAUUACCAGAGUUCUCAGAUUUACAGAAUUGUAAUAUCUUCCCACCUCCUCAUCUUUUGUCGUAGAUUUUAAUGGCUUGAAUUCUGAUCUUUAAUGUCUAGGCUGAAGAACUAAUGAGGAAAAUCGAGAAAGAGGAAGAGCAAUUAUCGUACGAUGACUCCGAAAAGAAAAUCUACCAUCUCUGUAUUGUCAACCUAGUUAUAGGAACUUUGUAUUGCGCCAAGGGUAACUAUGAGUUUGGAAUUUCCCGCGUGAUUAAAUCCUUGGAGCCGUACAACAAGAAACUGGGGACGGACACGUGGUACUACGCCAAGCGCUGCUUCCUGUCCCUGAUUGAGAACAUGGCCAAACACAUGAUCAUGAUGAAAGACCAGGUGGUACAGGAGUGUAUACAAUUCCUGGAGUGCUGUGAAAUGUACGGAAAAGACGUUAAAGCCUUGAUUGAGCAGCCAUUGGAAGCCGAACCGAUGCAUCCUGGGAAAAACACUGUGACGUACGAAGCUCGUCUCUUGAAAAGUUUAUUGUUGCAACUGAUUUGAAACACUGCUUAUUUUUUAAGCAUGACCAGAUUUAUUUGAACUGUGAUAGAAAACUGAUGACCAUUUGUCUAAAAUAGUUUUGUUGAAUAAACUUGAAGAAC